AAUGCAACCUAAAAAAAAAAAAAAAAAAAGCACUUAUGAUUAAUGGCACACAAUUUAAUCAAACUCUUACCCUUUCUAACAUUUCAUGAAAAUCUGAAGUGGAAAACCGCCCCUUCUUUUCGUGACUACUAUUGGGGAGAAAACAUAAGAUACGUAAUACAAACUUUCCCCGAAUAUAGACUUAAGGGUGAAAGCUUCUUGGGUGUUGACUUAACAGAACACACACAUGGCAACUGGAAUUUGGAACUGUAUCCUGUAACAAAGAGUUUGACUUUAAAUCUGAUGAGAGUGGGGGAUGUGAUUUGGUCGUUACCUAGGGAGAAAAAAAAAUCCAUUUUAAUAAGGUUGACUUUAAGAGAGAAGGUUGAGGAGAUGAUAAAAAUACGAAAUGUCCAGACUCCACUGGAUUGGAACAGGCCUUCGGUCACACUGGAACCACACCAUUGGCUCUCUCAGGUCUCCAGUUUGCUAGAUGUUCCAGCUUGCCCACUGAAGAUCUUGGACUUCUCAGCUUCCAUAAUUUCACGAGCCAAUUCCUAUUCCGUAUAGUAAAUCAACCUGUGUGUGUGUUA